CCUACGGGAGGCAGCAGUGGGGAAUUUUGGACAAUGGGGGCAACCCUGAUCCAGCAAUGCCGCGUGUGUGAAGAAGGCCUUCGGGUUGUAAAGCACUUUUGUCCGGAAAGAAAUCGCGCUGGUUAACACCUGGCGUGGAUGACGGUACCGGAAGAAUAAGCACCGGCUAACUACGUGCCAGCAGCCGCGGUAAUACGUAGGGUGCGAGCGUUAAUCGGAAUUACUGGGCGUAAAGCGUGCGCAGGCGGUUUUGUAAGACAGGCGUGAAAUCCCCGGGCUUAACCUGGGAAUUGCGCUUGUGACUGCAAGGCUAGAGUGCGUCAGAGGGGGGUAGAAUUCCACGUGUAGCAGUGAAAUGCGUAGAGAUGUGGAGGAAUACCGAUGGCGAAGGCAGCCCCCUGGGACGUGACUGACGCUCAUGCACGAAAGCGUGGGGAGCAAACAGGAUUAGAUACCCUGGUAGUCCACGCCCUAAACGAUGUCAACUAGUUGUUGGGGAUUCAUUUUCUCAGUAACGUAGCUAACGCGUGAAGUUGACCGCCUGGGGAGUACGGUCGCAAGAUUAAAACUCAAA
rnacentral:rRNA from 1 species